UUUAUAAUUUUUUGACAUCAUUUGGCUAGUGAUCAAAAUGUCUCAAAAUUGACAAUUUUAACGGUAGAUGUGAUGCGUUUGUGAAUUUAAUAGUAUAAAACAAUCGAAAUCUGAUGAAAUUUUUAUAGAAAAUUCUUUUCACUAUUUAGAGUAAGUUCAGUACUUCUGAUCUUAAAUUCAAGUUUUUUAUCAUCAUAUUUUAUGAGAUUUUUAUUUUCAGCCGUUCAUUUUUAGCCUACUCGUUUGAUAGGUAAAUGAUGCGGAAAAAUUAUAAAAUUUAGUUUCCAAAUACUUUCAAUAGUGUAGAUCAAGUCUAACGGAGCCAAUCGUCGAUUUGGAAGAUGCAUCAUUGAAAACAACUUGGUAGCACGGAGGCCUCCGUACUACCAAUAGUAUACCAGCCUAGCUCCAUAAUGUAUACAAUUUUGACUUUUCAU
rnacentral:lncRNA from 1 species